GGCGCGGAUCCGGGGCCAAACCCUCCAGGGCUGCGCUGCAGACAGCGACGGCCAGAGGCGGAUACAGUCGGGUUUAGGGACCGCAGGAGCGAAUUCCCGGAGGCCUGCAGGAGCCGCCCCGCGCCGCGUCCAGCCUUUCUCUCUGGGCCUAGCGGGUCUCCCCCAGGCGCGCCCCUCCCUCCCCACAGGCGCACUUUCUCCACCUGCAUCUGGGGCGAGGCGCGGCUGGGAGCGAAGCACAAGUGGGCUGGGCGAGGUUUGGGGUUCGAGGAUUGCAGAGUGACCGCGGGGUCUGGGGAAGAGUUGUCUUGGUGGCGCCACCAGAGCCCGACCCGCCGCGGCCGGGACCCUGCAGGGCAGGUAGCGACCUGCGGAGAAGCCGCCUGGCGCGGCCGACUCGGCUGCCGGGGCGUGGGCCUGGGCCGGGCGCAGGAGCAGCGGGGAUGCUGGGUGCGCUCCGAGGGUGCGGCCUCCCGGCUGUGCGGGGCUCAGAGCCGGGUGCUGGGCGCGGGGCCUGGCAAAGAAAUCGUUCGACACAGCCGGAAUCCCAGGAAAAUCUACCUUUCUGGAGACUGCAGCUCCUGUGAUAGCUCAACAGACUUCAGUUCCUCACAAAUAUUGCUCUCUACGGUUUCCCCCAAAACACUUCAGGAAAUACAGUGUCCUGUCUUCACAAAUGCUUCUGCACUGAAGAAGCAGGACCUCAGGAAGAAGCUCCAUAAGCUGCCAGAAUACAAGUGGAGGCUCCUGGAGAGGACAGUGAAGCCAACACUCCUCUUGGCAGAAUGGGGUCCAGGGGUCGAUGAUUUCGGCUUCUUUCUGCCUACCAAAUCACUCGAGUCGGUUUUCACUGCCAACCACGGAGAUCGCUCCGGCAAAGCAACCAUGUCGAAACAAUCCAUUUGCUGCGUUUUGAUUAUUUACAAAGAACAAGCACCUUUUCUGUUUGGGUUUCGCUUUUAG
rnacentral:lncRNA from 1 species